CGGGGUGUACGGUGCGGGUUGUACGGUGUGCGGGGUGUACGGGAGCGGGGCUCAGGGCCGCCCGGUGCCCGCUGCCGCCAGCGCCCCCGCCGUGCCGCGGAUCCCCGGGCCCCGCCGCCGGGCCCGCCCCCCUCCCCCCCUCCCCCCCCCCCCGCCGGGCCUUGGUACGCUCCGCGGGGCGGGGCGGGGAGGAGCCGCCGCCGCCGCCGCCUCCUCCGACACGGGGCGCCGGUGGGAGCCCGGGCGAGCGCGGGGCGGGGGGGGGGGGAGGGAGGGAAGAGAGGGAGGGCGGGCGCGGCGAAGAGAUAAGCGGCGCGGCCGGGCGGCGUUGGAUGGCGGCUCCCGCCCGCCGGGUCGCCCGCCCCAGCCUGGAAUGUCCUGGGGAGCCGCCGCCGAGCGGGACCGGGAGCGGGACCGGCCGCCGGCGUUGGGAGAGCUUGCUGGAGGCGACCGAUGGACGAGGUGUUGGCGUUCAGCUGGAAUCGCCUCAGAACUGAGCUUGCUGUCCUCCAACAGAGCUUGGCCGUGGCUGCUCUUCUUCUCAUGAACCUCCUCUCGGCUCCAAACCUCCCUCCCGGGCGUGAGGAGGGCGCCGCUGGAAGCUGAGCUUUGGGCAGCGCGUGUGGACACAAGCUCCUUUGUCUGAGGGUCUGACAGGUUUUUCUGAUGGCCAGAGCCAGCCUGUGCUCCUAGUCUGUGGUGUUGGUGUGGUUUUUUUUUUUUUUUUUUUAAAACAUGCUUGAUUCUGGUUAUAGAAACUGCUGAGAAACUAUAAACGUGGGUGAUCAUCCUUGGUGUGCAAAAUGCAAACUUUUUUAGGGGGAAAAGAGCCGGCCUGAGGCAGUGCAGCAGCUCCCUGCUGUGUGCACGUGUGGUUCCGAUGACUGGGACGGCGAGUCCCUCACCUCGCUUGAGGAGAAAGGGCAUGUAUCACUUGGAGUUGGGUUUCAUAUGGGUUUUUUUUUCUUUAUUUUUGCUCGCAUUCUUGCAGUCGAAAGCUUAUUAAAGGUACUGGGGUGGUGCUUCCCCAGGUGAUCCGAGGCCUCGCGCUGUUCUGAGUGUGGAGUUCCCUUUCCUGGGUGUCCCUUCCUUUCCCCUCCGUCGGGCGAGUGCUCCCAACUGCUCCCUCGUCCAGGUGAAAACUAAACCUCCUUCUUCUUUGGCUGAGUUUUCCCCCGGCUCCGCCAGCCGGUCUGACUCACUCAGCGGCCGCACGAUCCUUGGUACAGAUAGGUGAACGCAAGCCAGGUCCUGAAGGAAGGUGCUGCUGCCCUCCUGGCUUCAAAUUGGCUCGAACCGGUUGCGAAAGCUCACUCUUGGGAGAAAUCACUGGUUUGAAAAGUAAAAACAGGACCCUGGCUCCGAGGCUGAGGGCAGGAGGGAGCAGAGAGGGGUGUUUGCAGAAGGACCCUUUGAGACCCGUCUGGAGGUGAGCGGAGCUGGUGGUGGUGGUGACAGAGCGGGUACAGGUGGGGAGCUACGGAUUGGGAAGAAAAUGGGAAUUAUCAGGCAAAGUAAUCCCUGGCCAGGAGGGAAUGAGAGGGGUGAGGUCUCGGAGGCUGUGAAGAGCAAAGGGUGAGAAUUCUGUUGGUCCACAGUUACUCUGAUGGAACUGUUAGACUAAUGAUACCUUCGGAUCCCUCGAGGUCUAAAAGCCCUUAUUUAGGCAUUUAAGCAUAAUUGCAGCCCAGCAGAACUGUAUAUUAGGCUAAUGCUCUGUUCUUUUUCCUCCCCCGAGGCUAGAAGAGUCAGGAACCAUACCCACUUCAUUAGUGAGGCAGCAGGGGGACUGUCUCAGCUUUUUUUUUUUUUCUGAAGUUAAUAAUAAAAUUAACCUAAUUAUUAUGCCUGUUUGUGGC
rnacentral:lncRNA from 1 species